GCGCUUGGCGGCGGUGGCCGGCCAAGGGUGCUAAGCCGUAGUGACCGGGCUGCGGGGGCUGCUGCCGCUCCGGUUUUUUGGGGGCAUCUGCGCGGGUCGGAGAGCCCAGCCAAGGUCUUCAUUUCUAUUUGAUGUAGGUUUCGAACUUCAGAUUUAUGGCUCAACACCUCGCAACAAAUUUUGUAAAUAUUCUGUGGGGGCUUGGUCCUGAAACAUAAACACUUCUUCCUAUUGAGGCACUGAGGAAAAACAGAUCCCCUCAUUUAUUAUGUGAUAUCCAGAAGGCUAAGGAGAUUUUGAUCUCCUUUUUCAGGAACAUCUUCUUCAGUAAGAAAAAUGAAAUGUCAUCAUGCUAAGAGAUUUGGACCGGCUUUAUAAAUUAAACAGUACACGAUGACAGCUUCGGGGCGAAACAGAACAUAGUUGGAACCAAAAGCGUUCUGGAUUUGCAUCAUAACAGUCGGAACCCUUUUCUUGCCCUUCCCUUUGUCAUUUAUAGUUCAUCCAUUUACUUAAACCUCAAGCCUGGUGGGAGGAAAAGAGAAAAAAUCAGGAAUCCCAUGUGGACUCUGAAUCUCUGCCAGUAACAGGUGACCCCAAGAACUACCCGCUGAAAGCCUCUGUCCCCACUGAAAUGUCACCUUCUUCAUCUUUGGCAAUGUCCUGCUCCAUGUGCAGCUUCUGCCUCCCUCAGUGCCGUGGCCAUGGCUCCACCAGAAUCACACUGGUGGAUGAUUUAUUUGUGGAGAGAGAGACUUCCUAUAUGACUAUUGAGUAUCAAUUCUUUGAUCAGUGCAGAGCAGAUUUAAGGAAGUAAAUUCCACCUAAGAUUGUGAGUGGGAGAUAGAAAAGUACAAAGCAGCCAUCUUUUCUCUUUCAUCAGAAAGACAACACAUAAAAACCAGGCACAAUACUUUAAAGGGAAUGCUAGCAAAACUUCAUGUAUUUCUACUCUAAAAGUACAUUUCUACCAUCUUUGAAUGUACACUCUACCUGUGAUAUUCCACAGUUUGCUCUUCUAAACUGUAUUAAGCAGCUUAUAUAUGUUUAAGCUUUUGCUUUCAGAAAUGAAUUAAUGUAAUUAUUUGAAUGUUGAAUUAAAAAUAAAUUUAUUUGGAAACUCACAACCAAAUUGGUAUUCAUCAGGUCUUUCUCACCUAUCCUAGCGUGCCUGUAAAAGGAAAACACCUUUUGUUGAUAAAGCUGAGUCAGGAGUGUACCUAAUAUAUCCUGUAAGUUCUAAGAAACUUUGAAAACUACAGUAUGAAAGGGCAUCAUAACACAUUCUUUUUCAAUGGUAGAAACAAGAUCAAACACUCCAUGGAAUUUAACAAUACAUCAUAUUUCUCUUAAAAUUCCUCAAUCUGCAUCCAAAUUUUUGUCAUAUUUCAAGCCUUCACUACUGUUAUUGUUUUCUGGAAAGUCAAGAUUGUUUCAGAUGAAUUGGCCUGCGGUGAUUUGUUUGCUGUAAAGUAAUUUGAAAGUAUAUGAGAGGUAAUAAAUAAAACUGAAAUUUCAUUCCCUUGUUCAGCUUUGCUGUGAUAUUUUUGGAAAAGAUAUACAUUUAUGACUAAGGAUAGUGUCAUCAAUAAUUUACCCUUCAGCAAAAUGCAUUAUGUUAUAAAUUUAAUCACACACUAGAUCAGGCUCUUCUAAUUUUAAGACUGUAUCAUAAAAGAACUCUUUUUACCAAGAGAUACAGUAUUCAUCUGUGAGUAGUGCCUUUGCAUUCACCCUUAAAGAGUCAAGUUAUUUCAACAG